CCCGCCCCCAGUGUCACGUGCCAGGUCUCCGACGCGCCCCCGUGUCACGUGCUGUGAUCCGGACCGUCCCGAAGCAAGAUGGCGCGGGGUGGGGGUUUUUGUUGAGACCGAUCGGCUUCGUCGCGAAAAAGAAAGUUGAGCUUCGAGGGCUAAUAAUGCGAGUGUGAAAUGUUUUCCGCUCCGGCAGUGUGGAUGACAAGACCUGCUCUCUCUAUGCGGAGUGAGGAGUUGUGCAGCCGUAGUUAUCACAUACAUAAACAUUUAUUUAGGACACCCAGUUCCUGAGUGUUUGUCAAACACACGCUCGGCCUCCGGCUCAGGAGGAAAUGGCAGACUCGCAGCAUCGGCCUUGUGCCGCCGCCGGCAAACCGCCCCAGUUCCAGCCAGUUGACUCUCUCACGGCUCCGAGAAGAGCAUGGAAAGUGGCCAAAGAUGAAUAAUCUAGGGCAUGGCUUUCAUAAGUGGGUAAUGAGCUCUGAGGCCAUGGAGCACUGACUGAGUGAAGAGCUGCAAGACCGCUUUAAAUGCCCUUUUUUUUUUUUAAAACUGUGGGCAUGGCCUAAAUGACUCAACCUCAAGACCAAGCUUCUGCAGAAGUUUUUUUUUAAAUGACCACUUUAUAGAGGAAAAUCAAUAGUAAUGGACUUGGAUACCAAAAGAGAAACUCUGCCAUUUAGUGCCCUAUUUAUGUUUGCUGCCAACAACAAUUUGUUUUUACAGAUGGGAAGCAAAACUGUUUCACAAGGUGACGUAUGCUCUGUGCCUCCAGACCUUUUUGCAUUAUUGCAUUGGCUCUGGUAGAGAACUGUAAAAUAAACAGAUUAGACUGAACAAAA